UUCAUCACUGGUUCUGCUUGUUCUAGUUUUGUUCAGUUAUGGUUCUGGUUCUGUUCUGCUUCUGCUUCUGCUUCUGCGUUUUCAUGAAUCAUGACACCUUAAAAGAUGCAUCAUGGAGAAUACGUGCUGCUGCAACCCCUGAUAUUCCGGCACCAAUAACUAAUAACGGAGGGAAGUGGCCUUUGUUGGCUCUCAAUGCGGGAUGUAAUAGUGCC
rnacentral:lncRNA from 1 species